UUCGCAAUGCCCGAAAGGGUGACGAUGCGACGCCGCGUGAGCGAAGAAGGCCCUAGGGUUGUAAAGCUCUGUCGAGGGUUAUGAAAUAUAGAUGGGUUAAUACCCCAUUUAUUUGACAAAAGCCCAAAAGGAAGCCACGGCUAACUCUGUGCCAGCAGCCGCGGUAAUACAGAGGUGGCGAGCGUUGUUCGGUAUUAUUGGGCGUAAAGAGCACGUAGGUGGUUUUGUAAGUCAGGUGUGAAAGCCUUCUGUUCAAAGGAAGAACGGCAUCUGAAACUGCAGAUCUUGAGUGUAGGAGGGGAGAGUGGAACUUCUGGUGGAGCGGUGAAAAGCGUAGAUAUCAGAAGGAACGUCGGCGGCGAAAGCGACUCUCUGGCCUAUUACUGACACUGAGUGUGCGAAAGUUAGGGGAGCAAACGGGAUUAGAUACCCCGGUAGUCCUAACCGUAAACGAUGGGCACUAAGUAGAGGGGUUUU
rnacentral:rRNA from 1 species